AUUGAACGCUGGCGGCAGGCUUAACACAUGCAAGUCGAACGUGUCUCGUACGUUUGAGUUAUUCUUUGGCAUCUUGCUUAUGGAGGGCGAUAACUACCGGACACUGUUUCUACUUCCGCGUACCAUACUCUGAGCCCCAGUGGGAUUAGGUAGUUGUUGUGGUAAAGGGUCACCAAGCCGACGAUCUCUACCUGGUCUGAGAGGAUGACCAGCCACACUGGGACUGAGACACGGGCCAGACUCCUACGGGAGGCAGAAGGGGGGAAUAUUGCGCAAUGGGGGCAAGCUGACGCAGCCAUGCCGCGUGAAUGAAGAAGGCCUUCGGGUUGUAAAGUACUUUAGGUAGGGAGGCGGUAACAAAAGAAGAAGCACCGGCUAACCCCGUGCCAGCCGCCGCGGUAAUAG
rnacentral:rRNA from 1 species